UUGGUACUCCCUCCGUCCGAAAAUACUUGUCAUCAAAAUGGAUGAAAAUGGAUGUAUCUAGAACUAAAAUACAUCUAGAUACAUCCAUUUCAAUGACAAGUAUUUCCGGACGGAGGGAGUAUUAU
rnacentral:pre_miRNA from 1 species